CGUUACACGAACAUGGUGUGAGGAAGGACGUCGGGUUCGGCAGUGACGCACAUGGACAGAAAUACAGCGCUGAGGUCAGCAUCAUGGAGACACAGACUUACCCACAACCACAUGGUGCUUGACACACAAAUACCACGUAUCCCAGCAUGCCCUGCAGUGCAGACUGAGUCACCCAGGGAGGGUCAUCUAUAUCUGUCUCUGUCUCCUAAAAAUGACACCAAAAGAAAUCAUCUUGCAAUAAUUGGGAUAAAGUUUCUGCUAUACAGCAGGGCAGUAUGGAUGAUUAGGAUGUGGCCAGUUGUCAUGAAAAAUCCACAGUGGAAGUGUGGAGAGACGAACAGAGGACGAGCAUCCUGCUGAGAAAGAACGCCCUUCACUUAUUGACAGGUUUACACCUUGUGAACAAGACCCCAAGAUACUUAAACUCCUCCACUUGAGGCAGGAGCUCUCCACCAACCUGAAGGGGGCAAACCACCCUUUUCCGGCUGAGAACCAUGGCCUCGGACUGAUUCUCAUCCCCACCACUUCACACUCGGCUGCAAACCGUCCCAGUGCACACUGAAGGUCCUGAUUUGAGGAAGCCAACAGGACAACAUCAUCUGCAAAAAAGCAG